rnacentral:rRNA from 1 species
AUUGAACGCUGGUGGCAUGCUUUACACAUGCAAGUCGAACGGUAACAGGCCUUCGGGUGCUGACGAGUGGCGAACGGGUGAGUAAUGCAUCGGAACGUACCCAGAGGUGGGGGAUAACGCAGCGAAAGCUGUGCUAAUACCGCAUGUGAUCUGAGGAUGAAAGCGGGGGACCGAGCAGCAAUGUUUGGCCUCGCGCCUUUGGAGCGGCCGAUGUCGGAUUAGCUAGUUGGUGGGGUAAAGGCCUACCAAGGCGACGAUCCGUAGCUGGUCUGAGAGGACGACCAGCCACACUUGGACUGAGACACGGCCCAGACUCCUACGGGAGGCAGCAGUGGGGAAUUUUGGACAAUGGGCGCAAGCCUGAUCCAGCAAUGCCGCGUGCGGGAAGAAGGCCUUCGGGUUGUAAACCGCUUUUGGCAGGAACGAAACGGUGUCCGCUAAUACCGGGCGCUAAUGACGGUACCUGCAGAAUAAGCACCGGCUAACUACGUG